AUUGAACGCUGGCGGCAGGCCUAACACAUGCAAGUCGAGCGGAUGAAGGGAGCUUGCUCCUGGAUUCAGCGGCGGACGGGUGAGUAAUGCCUAGGAAUCUGCCUGGUAGUGGGGGAUAACGUCCGGAAACGGGCGCUAAUACCGCAUACGUCCUGAGGGAGAAAGUGGGGGAUCUUCGGACCUCACGCUAUCAGAUGAGCCUAGGUCGGAUUAGCUAGUUGGUGGGGUAAAGGCCUACCAAGGCGACGAUCCGUAACUGGUCUGAGAGGAUGAUCAGUCACACUGGAGCUGAGCCACGGUCCAGAGUCCUACGGGAGGCAGCAGUGGGGAAUAUUGGACAAUGGGCGAAAGCCUGAUCCAGCCAUGCCGCGUGUGUGAAGAAGGUCUUCGGAUUGUAAAGCACUUUAAGUUGGGAGGAAGGGCAGUAAGUUAAUACCUUGCUGUUUUGACGUUACCAACAGAAUAAGCACCGGCUAACUUCGUG
rnacentral:rRNA from 1 species